rnacentral:rRNA from 1 species
CUGGGCUUGACAUGUAUGGAACCUGCCAAGAUACGUCAACUCUUUCGACAAUCGUAUACAGGUGUGCUGUGUGGCUGUCGUCCUCUCGUGUCGGAGAUGUUGGGUUAAGUCCCGCCGAAGCGCCUCUCUGCCUAUUGUUGCCCACGUUAUGGUGGGAAACUCGGGAAGACGGCCGGUGAUAAACCGAAGAAAGGGGGGAAUGACGUCAAUCAUCAUGGGCCCUAUGUCUUGGGGUUACACCCUGGCUACAUGGGCGAGAACAGAGGCUGGCAUACUACCAGGAGUGACCGAAUCCCAAAAAUCGGGCCCAAUUCCGAAUGGGAUCCGGCACUUCAACUCCUGGAAUCCGAAAUCCUUAGUAUUCCCAAUUCACAAUGUUGCGGUGAAUACGUUCCC